rnacentral:rRNA from 1 species
UACGGAGGGUGCGAGCGUUGUUCGGAAUCACUGGGCGUAAAGCGCGUGUAGGCGGCUUCAUAAGUCUGGUGUGAAAGCCCGGGGCUCAACCCCCGGAAUUGCGCUGGAAACUGCGAGGCUAGAGUACCGGAGAGGAGAGUGGAAUUCCUGGUGUAGCGGUGAAAUGCGUAGAUAUCAGGAGGAACACCAGUGGCGAAGGCGGCU